ensembl:lncRNA
GCUAUACUUAUUUUCAUUAUAAAAGCUACUCAAAUUCUACUUCCUGUAUGGUAUGGGGAGUCAGAGUCUAUUCAAAUAUAAGAAAUCUUCAACCCAAUUCAGAAUUGACCCCAACCAGACAAUUUGCUAUGUUUUGUAAUGCUCACAUUUAACAGUGCCUUCAUACAUAAGUUAUCCUUUCUGAAGCAUUUCACACCACAGUUCAAAUGCAAGAGGCAAUUAAAAACUCAUUCUUACUUGCUAAUUUGAAAAUAUGGCAGUCUCUAUCUCUCCCAUGAACGCACGCGCACACACACACACACACACACACAAUGGUGCACGCACAAACACUUGAAUGUGUGUUUACCAUGUGUUUACCCCAGUAUGCCUGGGUCUGUCAAAGCGUGUGUAAUGCGGUUGGGGGGCAGAGCAUGUCACACAUCCCUGCAUACUUUUUUAGGCUCCCAAAAAAGAUUUGUACUUGUGUCACCCCCUGAUGCCUGGUUAUUUUGAGGGCAGACAUCAGCUGCAGGGAGGGUUGGCAACUCUUCCCUGAAUUCUCUUCUUCCCAUUUCUUACCCUCCUCCAUUUCUUUACCUGUUUAUCUCCUUUCUCUCUCUGUGUUUGACCAUUUUGAUUUCCUCUUUUCCUUCUCUCUACCUGGCCUUUAUUUCCCCCUCUCCAUAUUAGCUAUGGUAGUCUUCUUUUGCUGCCUCACUCCCUUAGUGAGUUUUUGUCAUGUUCUUAAUACCUGGUCUGAGAUAUCUAACCUAACACUCUGACCACCAACACUCCUAAUACUCUGACCACCAACACUCCUAAUACUCUGACCACCAACACUCCUAACACUCUGACUAACAACACUCCUAACACUCUGACCACCAACACUCCUAAUACUCUGACCACCAACACUCCUAAUACUCUGACUGCAACACUCCUCACACUCUGACCACCAACACUCCUAAUACUCUGACUAACAACACUCCUCACACUCUGACCACCAACACUCCUAAUACUCUGACUAACAACACUCCUAACACUCUGACUGCAACACUCCUAACACUCUGACUAACAACACUCCUAACACUCUGACUAACAACACUCCUAACACUCUGACCACCAACACUCCUCACACUCUGACCACCAACACUCCUAAUACUCUGACUAACAACACUCCUAACACUCUGACCACCAACACUCCUAACACUCUGACCACCAACACUCCUAAUACUCUGACCACCAACACUCCUAAUACUCUGACUAACAACACUCCUAACACUCUGACCACCAACACUCCUAACACUCUGACCACCAACACUCCUAAUACUCUGACUAACAACACUCCUAACACUCUGACCACCAACACUCCUAACACUCUGACCACCAACACUCCUAACACUCUGACCACCAACAGUCCUAAUACUCUGACUAACAACACUCCUAACACUCUGACUGCAACACUCCUCACACUCUGACCACCAACACUCCUCACACUCCUGACACCUCCACUCCUAGCUCUCCAACCACCAGCCCUUCUAACCUGAUAGACUGUGAGAGUCAUGUGUAGCUGUCAGAGAGUAAUGUAUUUCAGCCCUGGAAAUGAUCAUUAUAGACUGCUAUGCCAGAUUAGUGGCAGAGCCCAGCGGUCCACACACAGUUUCUUUCUAUUUAUGAAUCAUGCCCCUGAAUACACUAUCAGUCUCAUCUUGUGACUGACUCACUAGUGGUUGGUGCGUGUGUGUAUCCAGUUUAAAAUGAGAAUGUCAUUUACACGGACACACAUUACCUAGUUUGGAGACAUCACUAGCGUCUACUAAUCCACAACUUUCAGCAAUAGUCAAUACAUUUAAUAUCAAUAGUUUGGUGCACAUCCCUAUGGAGUUUAUCUUUACCUGUUUACAGAUACCCCAACAUUCACCAUGUCAGACCCUUUGUCCCUCCCCUUCCUCCCUUGAUCUGUCACUUUCUGUCUGUUUCUCACUCAGAAUCCAUGAAACUCCUUGACAGUUUCAUCACAUGACAAGGAUAAAUGAAGUAGCAGCAGUGGACUGGUCAAGGCCUGGAAAAAAAAAUAAACAAAAUGAGAAUGUGAACAUCACUGGCUCCAUCCUGUCUUGUUUUACACCUUUCUCUUUUCAUGUGCUCUAAGGUCAUAGGGUGACUGAAUGCAGGCAUUCAUGAUGAAUGUUAAGACAGUAGAACUUCUAGUAGGGGAACAUCUAUAUGUAAAUGGUUGUCAUUAAAAAUAUGGUAACCUUUUUAGUGUUUUAUUCGGAAGCAUCUUAGCAUGCUUUUUAUGUUUUCAUGAC